rnacentral:piRNA from 1 species
UAUGAAGUAUGAGCCGGGCAGUGGUGG